rnacentral:hammerhead_ribozyme from 1 species
AUCUAGAUGAUGAGUCCCAAGAUAGGACGAAAUGCACAUCCUAGAA